rnacentral:rRNA from 1 species
AUUGAACGCUGGCGGCAUGCCUAACACAUGCAAGUCGAGCGAGCGGCGGACGGGUGAGUAAUGUAUGGGGACUGCCCGAUAGAGGGGGCUUACUACUGGAAAAGGUAGCUAAUACCGCAUACUAUCGGCUUACCCAUUUGGGAUUAGCUAGUAGGUGAGGUAAUGGCCCACCUAGGCAACGAUCCCUAGCGGAUCUGAGAGGCUGAUCAGCCACAAUGGGACUGAGACACGGCCCAGACUCCUACGGAGGCAGCAGUGGGGAAUAUUGCGCAAUGGGCGCAAGCCUGAUGGAGCCAUGCCGCGUGAAUGAAGAAGGCCCUAGGGUUGUAAAGUACUGUCAUUAGGGAAGCGUUACCGAAAGAGGAAGCAACGGCUAACUACGUGCCAGCAGCCGCGGUAAUAC